rnacentral:rRNA from 1 species
UACCAAGGCGACGACGGGUAGCGGGUCUGAGAGGAUGAUCCGUCACACUGGGACUGAGACACUGCCCAGACUCCUACGGGAGGCUGCAGUCGAGAAUCUUCCGCAAUGGGCGCAAGCCUGACGGAGCGACACCGCGUGCAGGAUGAAGGCCUUAGGGUUGUAAACUGCUGUCACGCUAUAGGAACCCGCUGGGGUUAAUAGCUCCAGCGCUGACCAAAGCGAGAGGAAGGGCCGGCUAACUCCGUGCCAGCAGCCGCGGUAAUACGGAGGGCUCAAACGUUGUUCGGAAUCACUGGGCAUAAAGCGCACGUAGGCGGCUUCCUAAGUCAGAUGUGAAAGCCCUCGGCCCAACCGGGGAACUGCAUCUGAAACUGGGUAGCUCGAGGAAGACAGGGGUGAGUGGAACUCCAGGUGGAACGGUGAAAUGUGUAGAUAUCUGGAGGAACACCGGUGGCGAAAGCGGCUCACUGGGUCUUCUCUGACGCUGAGGUGCGAAAGCCAGGGUAGCAAACGGGAUUAGAUACCCCGGUAGUCCUGGCCGUAAACGAUGGGCACUAGGUAGUGGACUAACCUAUGUGGUUCACUGCCGUAGCUAAUGUGUUAAGUGCCCCGCCUGGGGAGUACGCUCGCAAGGGUAAAACUCAAAGGAAUUGACGGGGGAUCACACAAGCGGUGGAGCAUGUGGUUUAAUUCGAAACAACGCGAAGAACCUUACCUGGCCUUGACAUGCAUGGAUUAGCCCUCUGAAAGGAGGGUGACGGCUCUUCGGAGUUGGAACAUGUGCAGGUGUUGCAUGGCUGUCGUCAGCUCGUGUCGUGAGAUGUUGGGUUAAGUCCCGUAACGAGCGAAACCCUUAUCGUUAGUUGCCAGCGGGUAAUGCCGGGGACUCUAGCGAGACUGCCGUUGUCAAAACGGAGGAAGGUGGGGACGACGUCAAGUCAUCAUGGCCCUUAUGGCUAGGGCUACACACGUGCUACAAUGGUCUACACAAAGGGUACCGAGACCGCAAGGUGGAGGCAAUCCCCAAAGCAGGCCCCAGUUCGGAUUGCAGGCUGAAAUUCGCCUGCAUGAAGCCGGAAUCGCUAGUAAUCGCGUAUCAGCCAUGACGCGGUGAAUAUGUUCCUGAGCCUUGUACACACCGCCCGUCAAGCCACGGAAGCGGGGAGCGCUCGAAGUCGCUCGUGUCCAACCCUCGGGGGG